AGAAAAGCGAGUUACAAAACAAAAUCCAAAUCACCUAUUCAUUGAAAUAGAAAAGUAAAUUUCUUUAUAGAAACAAACUUUCAAUCCAAAUAAGAAAUUGGAGUUUCAACAAUGCCGAAUCCGAUUCAAAAAUUGUUCCAAUUGAUCUAUAAGAUCUUUCGCUAUCUGUGGCUAGCAUCCGUACUGAUGAUACCGUAUAUGGCCCUGAAAUUGAAGACGUGCGAGGCCAGCACACUGGACAGCUACAUAAUGCUUGGAUGCCUAGCACUGGGCGUCAUCCAGUUGAUAGAGACCCAACGCUUCCGACGAUAUUAGGAUGUGGGAGCUGGAGGCCGGCCAGAUUGUUGGCGAGACUGGUGCCCGCCAAUCCGACCAGACAUAGCGUCAAGCUGCACACGAUCCGCUGCCACAUUUUUGCACUACUCGAACUACCAACUGGCCUCCGAUAAUGUCUAUAUCUAUGUGUAUAUGUUUAUAUGCGCCACGAUCUUUUGUUUAAUCGUCUGGCCAAUUAUGUAUUAAAAUAUGCAGUUGCAUGGA